CCUAAAUAAAUGAAAAGUCAAUCUUCUUUCUGCUCUGCCAGUGCAAUUCCACUCAUUCCCUCUGAUUUCUUCUUUAGGUUACCCUUGUGUGACCCACAUGACUGCUUCUCAAAUCCUUGCCUCUUUCAGAGAUUUCCAUGUGCUUUCCAAUGCAAUCCCUGCACAAGACUCAUCUUCUAAAUGCCAGUGCACAGAUACAAGUAAAAGACAAGAAAAACAUGUACAACUAAUGGCUACAAGCAGAUCUUAGCAGAAGUUUCAGCUAAGACAUUCCAGACAUCAAAAAUGUGUUAUUCUCCCUAUUAAUCCUUAGGUCAACACAGAGUUUUCUAACCUUUGCAAUUAAAAUGCAGCCAGACCUGAUAAUGAAUCACUGAAUCUCUCUACAGAAACUAAUCACCUCUCACACAGAAUCUCUUCUCAUUGACAUUCCCUUUGGCUCAGGAGUGACUCACCAGCUGCUGAGCUAUGAACUUUGAAAUGUUUACUUUGACACUGAACAAUUUGGCCUCUGUUACUGACAAAGAGUGAGGAAAAGGCAGAGAGAACAACCACUCCAUGCCAGAAAUCUCAGCCUCAAACAUCACAACAAUCUAACAGUUAAAACAAUUCUAAAGUUUUUAUACAAUACAUUGAAAACCAUUCUUAAUUAACCAUUUUCAAGACUCCCAUAUGUGGAAACAAAUGAAAGAGAUGCUACUCUGCUCUGCCUAUAGGAGAUUAUAAUCAAAGUCAAAAACAGCUUUUGAUUCAGAUUAAUUUUUUUUUAAUUUUGAUCAGAUUCCUGCUUUGCUUCAGUUUUCUGCUCUCCAAGUGUGUACGGGAGAGGACAUGCUCUGGGCUCAACCUUCUAGCAACAAGAGAGUGAAUUAUGGUCAGAGACCUCAGUUCUGUAGAUGAAAACACUGAGCAUGGGGCAAAACAGUGGCUGUCAUAAUUUGUGUCUCCAACAAAAAGUGAGAAGAGGGAAAAAUAUGCUGGAGCAAAGAAGAGUAAGGGCUGUUCGGUUUUGAUUGAUUUUUUCUGGAUUUGUGGAAGUAUCAAAUUUAAGCAGCUUUUGAGAUGAGAGAAAUGGAUGCACUUUAUUUUUAAGUCAUACACAGAAAUUUAAAAAAUGGUACUCUUUCUGGAGUAGCAGUGAUACUUUCUGGAGACAACAUUUUAAGACUGCUUAAAUAGC
rnacentral:lncRNA from 1 species